UACGGAGGGGGCUAGCGUUGUUCGGAAUUACUGGGCGUAAAGCGCACGUAGGCGGAUUGGAAAGUCAGAGGUGAAAUCCCAGGGCUCAACCUUGGAACUGCCUUUGAAACUCCCAGUCUUGAGUUCGAGAGAGGUGAGUGGAAUUCCGAGUGUAGAGGUGAAAUUCGUAGAUAUUCGCAGGAACACCAGUGGCGAAGGCGACUUGCUGGACUUAUGGUGACGCUGAGACGCGAAAGCGUGGGGAGCAAACAGG
rnacentral:rRNA from 1 species